CGACCGGCGCACGGGUGAGUAACACGUAUGAAACCUGCCCGUAGCAGGGGGAUAAGCGGAAGAAAUUCCGUCUAAUACCGCGUAACAACCCGAGGAGGCAUCUCCUCGGGUUUAAAGGAAGCGAUUCCGGCUACGGAUGGUCAUGCGUCGCAUUAGCUAGUUGGCGGGGUAACGGCCCACCAAGGCGACGAUGCGUAGGGGUUCUGAGAGGAAGGUCCCCCACACUGGUACUGAGACACGGACCAGACUCCUACGGGAGGCAGCAG
rnacentral:rRNA from 1 species